rnacentral:rRNA from 1 species
GAUGAACGCUGGCGGCGUGCCUAACACAUGCAAGUCGAACGAAGCACCUUACCUGAUUCUUCGGAUGAAAGUUUGGUGACUGAGUGGCGGACGGGUGAGUAACGCGUGGGUAACCUGCCCUGUACAGGGGGAUAACAGCUGGAAACGGCUGCUAAUACCGCAUAAGCGCACGAGGAGACAUCUCCUUGUGUGAAAAACUCCGGUGGUACAGGAUGGGCCCGCGUCUGAUUAGCUGGUUGGCAGGGUAACGGCCUACCAAGGCAACGAUCAGUAGCCGGUCGGAGAGGAGGAACAGCCACAUUGGAACUGAGACACGGUCCAAACUCCUACGGGAGGCAGCGGUGGAGAAUAUUGCACAAUGGGGGAAGCACUGAUGCAGCAACGCCGCGUGAGUGAAGAAGUAUUUCGGUAUGUAAAGCUCUAUCAGCAGGGAAGAUAAUGACGGUACCUGACUAAGAAGCUCCGGCUAAAUACGUG